rnacentral:rRNA from 1 species
UACGGGGGGGCAAGCGUUGUUCGGAAUUACUGGGCGUAAAGGGCGCGUAGGCGGCCAGCACAAGUCAGUUGUGAAAUCUCCGAGCUUAACUCGGAAAGGUCAACUGAUACCGUGCGGCUAGAGUGCGGGAAGGGGCAACUGGAAUUCUUGGUGUAGCGGUGAAAUGCGUAGAUAUCAAGAGGAACACCUGCGGCGAAGGCGGGUGCUGGGCCGACACUGACGCUGAGGCGCGAAAGCGUGGGGAGCGAACAGG